UACGGGGGGGGCAAGCGUUGUUCGGAAUUACUGGGCGUAAAGGGCGCGUAGGCGGUUCGCUAAGUUGGAUGUGAAAACUCUGGGCUCAACCCAGAGCCUGCAUCCAAAACUGGCGGGCUAGAGUUCUGGAGGGGGUAGCGGAAUUCCUGGUGUAGCGGUGAAAUGCGUAGAUAUCAGGAGGAACACCAGUAGCGAAGGCGGCUCGCUGGGCCGCACCUGACGCUGAGACGCGAAAGCUAGGGGAGCGAACAGG
rnacentral:rRNA from 1 species